rnacentral:ribozyme from 1 species
UGCCCAGCAACUCCUAUCCCUACCUCCUCUCGGUACUACCCGAGGUACGAGUAACCUUGGGGAAGAUCGGGUAACCAACCCCCGGUAGAAACUUUGGUCGUAUGCUGACAGGGAAGG